AUUGAACGCUGGCGGCAUGCUUAACACAUGCAAGUUGAACGGUAACAGGUGUAGCAAUACAUGCUGACGAGUGGCGGACGGGUGAGGAAUGCUUGGGUAUCUGCCUGUUAGUGGGGGACAACCCGGGGAAACUCGGGCUAAUACCGCAUACGCUCUACGGAGGAAAGCGGGGGACCGUAAGGCCUCGCGCUAACAGAUGAGCCCAAGUCGGAUUAGCUAGUUGGUGGGGUAAAAGCCUACCAAGGCGACGAUCCGUAGCUGGUCUGAGAGGACGAUCAGCCACACUGGGACUGGGACACGGCCCAGACUCCUACGGGAGGCAGCAGUGGGGAAUAUUGGACAAUGGGGGCAACCCUGAUCCAGCAAUGCCGCGUGUGUGAAGAAGGCCUGCGGGUUGUAAAGCACUUUUGGCAGGGAUGAAAAGCACUGGAUUAAUAACCCAGGGUGUUGACCUAACCUGCAGAAGAAGCACCGGCUAACUCUGUG
rnacentral:rRNA from 1 species